rnacentral:lncRNA from 1 species
UUCUGCUCUGUGUCUACCUGUUCAUUGUUAUUGGGAACUCUAUGAUCUUCUUGGCUGUGCAGCUGGAUGUCCGUCUGCACAAUCCCAUGUAUAGUUUCAUCAGCAUCUUUUCCUUCCUGGAGAUUUGCUACACCACAGUGACCAUUCCCAAAAUGCUCUACAACCUUGUCAGCAGAGAGAAAACCAUCUCCCUCAUUGGCUGCCUACUGCAGAUUUAUUUUUUCCAUUCCUUUGGGGUCACAGAAAGCUUAGUCCUUACAAUGAUGGCCAUUGACAGUCCAUCCUUCUCAGAGAAGGGGAAGCCUCCCAAGGAUAUCAGCCCGCCCUGGAAGUAGGUCCAGGCACAUUUUCUUCUAUUCAGCCUGGACAAGGCAACCCACUUAUUGGAAAGGGAAAGUUAGAGACAGUCCCUGCUGUUAGAAGUCCCACAUGAAAACUAAGCUGUGUAUUAGUUACAUAUAUAGAGGUGAUCUAGAUCUGUCACAUGAGUGCUCUUUCAUUGGUGAUUUAGUUUCUGCGAGCCUCUGUGGGCUCAGGUUAGUUAAUUCUGUAGGUUUUCUUGUGGUAGUUGGGCCCAUGCUCCUUCAAUCCUUCCUCCCUCUCACAAGAUUUUCUGAGUUCUGGCUAAUGUUCGGUUGUGGGUCUCUGUAUCUGUUUCCAACUGCAAGUAUAAAAGAAUAUCAUUAAUAGUGUCAGGGGUGGGCUGUUCUUUAUGGUAUGGUCUUAAAUCAUUGGUUGGCCAUUUCUUUAUAUUUUAAGCCCAUCUUUGUCCCAGAACAUCUUUUGAAUAUAUGACCAGGAGUUAUACAGCUAGGUUUUGAGGUAGAGUUAUUCUAAAUUUUCAGAGAAACUGCCAAAUUCAUUUACAAGUUGAUGGUACAAGAUUCUACUCCAUCCAGUAAUGGAGGAAUGUCCCCUAUGUUCCACAUCCUCACCAUCAUGAGCUGUCACUUGUGUUUUUUAUCUUAGCCCUCAUGUUUUAUAUAAGAUGGAAUGUUAGCAUUGUUUUGAUUUCCAUUUCUCUGAUGACUAAGGUUGUUGAAUAUUUCUUGAAGAGCUUCUUUUUUUUUUUUUUUUGGUUCUUUUUUUCGGAGCUGGGGACCAAACCCAGGGCCUUGCUCUUCCUAGGUAAGCGCUCUACCACUGAGCUAAAUCCCCAACCCCUGAAGAGCUUCUUAUACAUCAGAUAUUUCUCUGUUGAGAAUUCCCUUGAGAAAACAUCCACUGGAGGAAGAAGACGGGUCACCAACAUAAAGACACAUAAAUCGAGAAGAGACAGGGCCUUACUUCCAGAGCCUUCACUCUGCUUUGUAGAGUAUCAUUAUUUCUGUAUACCUUUCUAGUGUGCAAUGCAUUGUGUGUGAGUGUGUGUGUGUGUG